rnacentral:rRNA from 1 species
UAACACGUAAACAACCUGCCUUCAGGAUGGGGACAACAGACGGAAACGACUGCUAAUACCGAAUAAGUUCCAAGAGCCGCAUGGCCCAUGGAAGAAAAGGUGGCCUCUACCUGUAAGCUAUCGCCUGAAGAGGGGUUUGCGUCUGAUUAGCUGGUUGGAGGGGUAACGGCCCACCAAGGCGACGAUCAGUAGCCGGUCUGAGAGGAUGAACGGCCACACUGGAACUGAGACACGGUCCAGACUCCUACGGGAGGCAGCAGUGGGGAAUCUUCCGCAAUGGGCGAAAGCCUGACGGAGCAACGCCGCGUGAGUGAUGACGGCCUUCGGGUUGUAAAACUCUGUGAUCCGGGACGAAAAGGCAGAGUGCGAAGAACAAACUGCAUUGACGGUACCGGAAAAGCAAGCCACGGCUAACUACGUGCCAGCAGCCGCGGUAAUACGUAGGUGGCAAGCGUUGUCCGGAAUUAUUGGGCGUAAAGCGCGCGCAGGCGGCUUCCCAAGUCCCUCUUAAAAGUGCGGGGCUUAACCCCGUGAUGGGAAGGAAACUGGGAAGCUGGAGUAUCGGAGAGGAAAGUGGAAUUCCUAGUGUAGCGGUGAAAUGCGUAGAGAUUAGGAAGAACACCGGUGGCGAAGGCGACUUUCUGGACGAAAACUGACGCUGAGGCGCGAAAGCGUGGGGAGCAAACAGGAUUAGAUACCCUGGUAGUCCACGCCGUAAACGAU